UACGUAGGUGGCAAGCGUUGUCAGGAUUUAUUGGGUUUAAAGGGUGCGUAGGCGGUCUAUUAAGUCAGUGCUGAAAUAUCCCGGCUUAACCGGGAGGGUGGCAUUGAUACUGAUGGACUUGAGUAAAGUUGAGGUUGGCGGAAUUGACGGUGUAGCGGUGAAAUGCUUAGAUAUCGUCAAGAACACCUAUUGCGAAGGCAGCUAACUAAGCUUAAACUGACGCUGAGGCACGAAAGUGUGGGGAUCAAACAGG
rnacentral:rRNA from 1 species